ensembl:lncRNA
GCACGUCUCUCUCCCUCCUUGCUAGAGGCACGUCUCUCUCCUCCCUGCUAGAGGCACGUCUCUCUCUCUCCCUGCUAGAGGCACCUCUCUCCCUCCUUGCUAGAGGCACGUCUCUCUCCCUCCUUGCUAGAGGCACGUCUCUCUCCCUCCCUGCUAGAGGCACCUCUCUCCCUCCUUGCUAGAGGCACGUCUCUCUCCCUCCUUGCUAGAGGCACGUCUCUCUCCCUCCCUGCUAGAGGCACGUCUCUCUCUCUCCCUGCUAGAGGCACCUCUCUCCCUCCCUCCCUGCUAGAGGCACGUCUCUCUCUCCCCCUGCUAUUGGCACGUCUCU